GUGGUUAAAAUUAAUUGAUGUUACGACAAAACAAUCAUGGUAGUUUGGAUAUUUCUUUGAAGUCAAACUUUAAAGUUGGACUUCUAUAUUGUAGUGGAUAUGAGACCCAUUACUACUCAUACCCACCAGUACGGAGUCGUAAUGGGACUUGUACCCACUGACAAAAUGGAAGUCUAAUAAUUUUAAUGUUCAGGAAUGGAUAUGAUGUCCAUAUGAGUCAUAUCCUAACCAUAUGA
rnacentral:lncRNA from 1 species